rnacentral:snRNA from 1 species
AUCGCUUCUCGGCCUUUUGGCUAAGGUCAAGUGUAG